AGAUCAAAUUAUCCCUAAUAAUAAUAAAAAUAAUAAAAAAACAAAGCAAAAUCCUCCCUACCACCCACACUGUAUCUCCCACCACACUGACUAUCAUAUUCUCUCCCUCCUCCUUUCUCCUCACCACCAACAUUGCUUUCUUCUUCACUCUCGCUCCUUCUUCUGCCACUGCCACUACCUUUGCUCUCACUAAUCUGAGAAACUUCCUCGCCAUCAAGGGAGACGAGGGGAUGGAAAGUCGAGGGGAGUCCGGUACCAUAAGUGUUGAUUCCUCCUCUCAUUAGAGUUGGUGGCCACGGAGUUUGAUUUCUGCUCCAUCUUCUUUAUUCUUGUCUUCUGCUUUUGUUUUUCCCUCUCACACAGUGGUAAGUCACCAUCCCCUUUCUCUCUCUCUCUUUCCUGGUGACUCUUCUCUUUCAGUCUCUAUUCCUUCAACUAUCCUCAAUCACAAUUCGCUUUACCACUCCCAUUUUGUCACCCUUCAUAUCACUACCAAAAAUUCUCUUUUUCUUUUCCAAAGAUUAUAAUUUUAUUGCAAUCAAAAUUUAGGGUUUUGAUUACAAUACCAAAAAACAUGCUGCUUCUUUAUCGACGAGAACUAUGGUUACCAUGCCUUAAAGAAAGAAACAGGGGCAAAAAAAAAAAGACACAUGCUUAAAGAUAAUUUUUUCAGACAAAAGAAAACAUGACUAAUGGAAAAAGAAACGCCAACCAAAGGAAACAGCGGAAGAGUCCUCCUUUAGCUCAUCUAAGGCCAAUCAACUGAAGGCAUUCCUCAAGGCUAUUAGCUGCAUGGAGCUUGGUCUGUCGAUCCAACAAAAGAAGUUGCCCGACUACAAUGUUCGACAGAGCAAGAGGCGAUUUGAUAGGUUGAGUUUAAGAUGUAAUCGGAUCGAGCGAGUGGUUAAGGAUGAGGACUUGAGACCCCUUCCACAUGAGAAGCCAGAUAGAGGAGUUAUCAAGAGUUCCCUUUUGAGUUCUGAGUUCAUCUUUUAUAACACCCUACCACACAGAACUUUACGCUUAAGCCGUAAAACAGAGGUGGUGUGGUAUUACGACUGAUGCUACGAUUUUAGGAAAUUGCACGAUCGGCAAAAAUUCCUUCCGGCAAGUGCACCGGUUAUCGUCAAGUAAAAACUCACAAUAGAGUGAGGUCGAAUCCCACAAGGAUUGGUUGAGUGAGCAAUUCGGAUUAGAAGUGUGUUCUAGUUGAGCGGAAUCAAGAUUUAGAUGAGAAUUGCGGAAUGUAAAAUUGGCGGGAAACGUAAAUGGCAAGAAAUUGAAAUUGCGGAA